rnacentral:lncRNA from 1 species
CUGGGUCCCCCCCGGACACCUGGGCCCCUCCCGGAUGCCGGGCCCCCCCCCCCGGACGCCUGGGCCCUUCCCAGACACCUGGGUCCUUCCCAAAUACCUGGGUCCCCCCAGACUCCUGGACCCCUCCCGGACGCCUGGGCCCCUCCCUGGACACCUGGGUCCCCCCAGACACUUGGGCCCUUCCCGGACACCUGGGCCCUUCCUAGACACCUGGGUCCCCCCCGGACACCUGGGCCCCUUCCCGGACACUUGGGCCCCUCCCAGACACCUGGGCCCCUCCCGAACACCUGGGCUCCUCCUGGACGCCUGGGCCCCUUCCCAGACGCCUGGGUCCCUCUCGGACUCCUGGGCCCCUCCCCGGACACCUGGUUCCCCCCGGACGCCUGGGCCCUUCCCGGAUGCCUGGGUCCUUCCCGGACGCCUGGGCCCCUCCUGGACGCCUGGGUCCCUGCUGGACACCAGGGUCCCUUUUCCCGGACGCCUGGGCCCCUUUCUGGACUCCUGGGUCCUUCCCGGACACCUGGGCCCCUCCCGGACGCCUGGGCCCCGCACACAGAGGAGGCAGCAGCCAUCAGAGUCAUCAGAGUUUUAUUACGGCGGGGCCACGGUGGCCUCGCGCCUCGGGGAAUGUCCCCAGGCCCUCGUUGGGGACAAGGGGCCACCCCGGGGUGGGGGGGAGGCGCCCAGGGGUUGGGGACGCCCCGAGGUGCCCCCGGCCGGUGGCUCGGCUCGGGGACGUCGGGAACGAUGGGGCUCCGUCCCCCUGCGUCGGGGACGUGGCGGACGUCGAGCCGUGACGGGGCUCGGUCCCUCGAAUUGGGGACGUUGGGGACGUCGGGGCGCCGUGGGGCUCAGUCCCUCGAGUCGGGGACUUCGGGGGUGUUGGGGACACGGGGGACAUUGGGCCGGGAUGGGGCUCAGUCCCUUGAGUUGGGGACAGCGGGGAUGUUGGGGACAUCCGGCCAUGAUGCGUCUCAGUCUCCUGACUUGGGGACAUGGGGGACAUCGGGGACGUUGGGCCACGUUGGGGCUCAGUCCGUUGA